rnacentral:rRNA from 1 species
GACGAACGCUGGCGGCGUGCUUAAUACAUGCAAGUCGAACGGAAAGGCCCUGCUUUUGUGGGGUGCUCGAGUGGCGAACGGGUGAGUAACACGUGAGUAACCUGCCCCUGACUUUGGGAUAACUUCAGGAAACUGGGGCUAAUACCGGAUAGGAGCUCCUGCUGCAUGGUGGGGGUUGGAAAGUUUCGGCGGUUGGGGAUGGACUCGCGGCUUAUCAGCUUGUUGGUGGGGUAGUGGCUUACCAAGGCUUUGACGGGUAGCCGGCCUGAGAGGGUGACCGGCCACAUUGGGACUGAGAUACGGCCCAGACUCCUACGGGAGGCAGCAGUGGGGAGUAUUGCACAAUGGGCGGAAGCCUGAUGCAGCAACGCCGCGUGCGGGAUGACGGCCUUCGGGUUGUAAACCGCUUUCGCCUGUGACGAAGCGUGAGUGACGGUAAUGGGUAAAGAAGCACCGGCUAACUACGUG